UCUCUCUCUCUCUCUCGCGCGGACAGCUCCUCCUUCCCGUUUUUUUUUCUGCACAGCCGGUGGCUCCAAGAGCCACCACAGCCGCCACCGACCACCGUUUGGGGUGGUACCGGUCCCAAAAGAACCGCCAGCUCCUCCUCCUUCCAUCCCGCUCCAUCCCCGACCUCGGCAGCCGCUGGUGUCGCCGGAAUCAGCCGGAAAACGAGCCGGUUUUCACAGAUUUUCAAACCGCUCGUUCUCCCUCAUUUCUUCUCCAAAUUUGACGAGUAAGGUACUCCGACCACGCAUACGCAGCAGGCGGGACCCUCUCAGAGUCAAGCAGCGUGGGACUACUUCCAGUAGUUGACUGAGCUCCGCAGCAGAGCCGGAUCGUGAGCUUCCGAGCCUUGAGUCAUCGUAGGACUCUUUCUUCCUGUUAUUUCCUUUGUACUCUGUUUUGUUGAAAUUGAAGUCCUUAGACAUGCUCUGUUAUCGCCCUGUUAGGGUUUGAAUUGUGAGGCCGGAGGCCAUUUUGUUGUAAACUGUUUAUUCGCUUCAAAGCAUGCUGCUGGUUGGGUUUGUUCUGUAUUUUUAUGCAGGUUGAAUUUUGUUGGGUUGUUCAAUUCAUAAGGGAGACUGGCAA